AAAAUAUCUUUAGUCGCCAAAGGUUGUAAUAUUUGUUUUAGAGGGAAACAAAUUAUUUUUGGCGCCCGAUCUAUUUACACUCUGUUCUGUCUCUCACACACACAGACACACGCUAUACACUUCUGUGUCAAACACUAGCAAACCUCACCCUCACCAUCCCUGCUAACAGUUACCAUCGAACUUCCACUACCGACCAUCGCGGCUCUCGCUACCGCCGCUGACCAUUGCGGCUCUCGCCACCGUCGCUCACCAUCGCGGCCCCCCUCCCAGCCACAUUCAGUGGACAUGUUAAAAUCCAUGACUUCUCCAGGGUUCUGAGAUUGAAGGCUUGCAACCUUUCUAAAAAGUGGAUUGGAAUUGGGCCCUCACAAAACGAUGGUGGGAACUGCUAUUAGUGGUAAGGCUUUAAGGUGUGGAUUAUGGGAUAGAUAUAUUAUCCACGUUCUUAAUGAGGAAAAGAUAUUGGUGUUGUUUGUAUGGUUGUGGGUGUGCAUUUAUGGCUUUGAUUUUGACUCAAAUGGUUGCUAUCUUUGAUUGGUUUACAUACUCCCCAUAGUGAAAAUUUUUCCAUUGAAAAGCCUUUUGCUAGUUAAUUAGUUUAUUUGAUUGGUUAAUUAUCUUUUUUUCUCCCUAGUUUGACAAGAAUUUACUUAAUUAGCUUGUCAUAUGAAUUGAAUUUGCAUGUAUUUUAACUAGGAUAUGAAAAUGUAUUGGCGGGUAAUUG